rnacentral:lncRNA from 1 species
UUUUUCUUUUUUUUUUCGCAGGUCAAUAAUAAUUAACACAAAAAGACUUAGUCGUUAGCCGUCGGGGCAUUUUGACGCGAACUCCAACAUUUUUAGAUGAAGGAGCCCGGUUACUCAGCUCCUACCGCUAUACGACCACGUACUCAUAAGAAGUACCACCUUUUGACGCGAAAAUCGACACUUUCAGGUGCAGAUUCCCGGUUACUCGGUAGUAGCUAAUAGAGGAGUACAGUCAAGCUUAUUCACAGCCAAACAACACAGAAACGCAAAAUAACAGCACUAACAACUAAACAUAGGGCAGCUCGCCUCAUUAUUGCCAAACAUGGAGAACUGGAGUCAAAAUUGGACCAGUUCACAUCAAAAUGCCAACAGUCAUUCCCAAUGCCUAGAAAAGUUAACAAAGUAAGCAAA